UACGUAGGGGGCAAGCGUUGUCCGGAUUUACUGGGCGUAAAGCGCGCGUAGGUGGAAGGUCAAGUCCGGCUUGAAAGCCCCCGGCUCAACCGGGGAGAGUGGCUGGAAACUGGCUUUCUUGAGGGCGAGAGAGGAGGGUGGAAUUCCUGGUGUAGCGGUGAAAUGCGCAGAUAUCAGGAAGAACACCCGUGGCGAAGGCGGCUCUCUGGGACGGUACUGACGCUGAGACGCGAAAGCGUGGGGAGCGAACAGG
rnacentral:rRNA from 1 species